CGGAUUGUGGCGCAGUUUGGUAGCGCACGUGCUUUGGGAGCAUGGGGUCGCAGGUUCGAAUCCUGUCAAUCCGAC
rnacentral:tRNA from 6 species